AAAGAUUUAAGUUAAAAAAACUAUUAACCUUCAAAGUUAAAAUUAUGAUAUUUAUUUCCAUAAGCUUUG
rnacentral:tRNA from 1 species